UGCAGAUGCCAUGUGGAGGCCAUUCGGUGUCUCCCUUGGCUUCCAGCUUCUGGCAGGUCUUUGCAGCGGGGUGACGGUGACACAGAAGGAGAAGUUUAUAGCCAUCCAGAGUGGGAGCGAGGGAAGAAUCCCAUGUGAACAUAAUGACACGUCCUACUAUACUGUCCUGUGGUAUCAGCAGAAGAAGGGUGCAGAAAAGCAGCUGCAGUUAGUUGCCACUUCUGUAGAUGUGACUAAUUCACCAAAAAUAGAAGAAAAUUUCAAACCCAGAUAUAAUAUGAUACGACCAGCAAUACUGAAUGCCUCCCUGACAAUCAGUCGGGGGACAGUUGAAGAUUCUGCUGUGUAUUUUUGUGCUGCUAGUAAAGCACAGUGA